CAUUACAUUUACAUUUAAGUCAGUUAGCAGACGCUCUUAUCCAGAGCGACUUACAAUUCUAAAUUCCAUGCAUGACUUAUUCAAUUGGAAUUCAUCAGAUACUGUAUGUAAUAUAAAUCCAUCAAUGUUUUUCUUCUUCUUUUAUUAGGUAUGCACAGACCCCCAAAACUCAAAUGGAUUGAUUGCCUUUCAAUCUCAACACAGCUGGUGUUUCAUCUCUCUUGCCAUCUGACAUAGAGCACAGGGCCCACAGAACAUGUACACUGCCCAGUCAUCAAUUAAGCUGCCCGGGAUGUUGUAUCUCUCUCUCAUUGAUGUGCGCAUCAUCAUCAUAGUUGUUGGCAGCAGGGGGAGACAGAAGCAUUCACCAUACCUCUCAGCCAUCUGACAGGUAUCACAUCAUAUAUGGAGAACUAUCUACACAUUAUAUAUGUAGAACUAUCUACACAUUAUAUAUGGAGAAUUAUCUACAUAUUAUGUAUGGAGAAUUAUCUACACAUUAUGUAUGGAGAAUUAUCUACACAUCACUAUGUAUGGAGAAUU